UAGGGAAUCUUCGGCAAUGGACGAAAGUCUGACCGAGCAACGCCGCGUGAGUGAAGAAGGUUUUCGGAUCGUAAAACUCUGUUGUUAGAGAAGAACAGGAGAAGUAGUAACUGGCUUCUUUUUGACGGUAUCUAACCAGAAAGCCACGGCUAACUACGUGCCAGCAGCCGCGGUAAUACGUAGGUGGCAAGCGUUGUCCGGAUUUAUUGGGCGUAAAGCGAGCGCAGGCGGUUUCUUAAGUCUGAUGUGAAAGCCCUCGGCUCAACCGAGGAGGGUCAUUGGAAACUGGGAGACUUGAGUGCAGAAGAGGAAAGUGGAACUCCAUGUGUAGCGGUGGAAUGCGUAGAUAUAUGGAAGAACACCAGUGGCGAAGGCGGCUUUCUGGUCUGUAACUGACGCU
rnacentral:rRNA from 1 species